rnacentral:rRNA from 1 species
GAUGAACGCUGGCGGCGUGCCUAAUACAUGCAAGUCGAGCGAACAGACGAGGAGCUUGCUCCUCUGACGUUAGCGGCGGACGGGUGAGUAACACGUGGAUAACCUACCUAUAAGACUGGGAUAACUUCGGGAAACCGGAGCUAAUACCGGAUAAUAUAUUGAACCGCAUGGUUCAAUAGUGAAAGACGGUUUUGCUGUCACUUAUAGCUGGAUCCGCGCCGCAUUAGCUAGUUGGUAAGGUAACGGCUUACCAAGGCAACGAUGCGUAGCCGACCUGAGAGGGUGAUCGGCCACACUGGAACUGAGACGCGGUCCAGACUCCUACGGGAGGCAGCAGUAGGGAAUCUUCCGCAAUGGGCGAAAGCCUGACGGAGCAACGCCGCGUGAGUGAUGAAGGUCUUCGGAUCGUAAAACUCUGUUAUUAGGGAAGAACAAAUGUGUAAGUAACUAUGCACGUCUUGACGGUACCUAAUCAGAAAGCCACGGCUAACUACGUG